AUUGAACGCUGGCGGCAUGCUUUACACAUGCAAGUCGAACGGCAGCGCGGGCUUCGGCCUGGCGGCGAGUGGCGAACGGGUGAGUAAUACAUCGGAACGUGCCCAGUAGUGGGGGAUAGCUCGGCGAAAGCCGGAUUAAUACCGCAUACGACCUGAGGGUGAAAGCGGGGGAUCUUCGGACCUCGCGCUAUUGGAGCGGCCGAGGGCAGAUUAGCUAGUUGGUGGGGUAAAGGCCUACCAAGGCGACGAUCUGUAGCUGGUCUGAGAGGACGACCAGCCACACUGGGACUGAGACACGGCCCAGACUCCUACGGGAGGCAGCAGUGGGGAAUUUUGGACAAAGGGCGAAAGCCUGAUCCAGCAAUGCCGCGUGUGUGAUGAAGGCCUUCGGGUUGUAAAGCACUUUUGGCGGGAACGAAAAGGACUGUGCCAAUACCACGGUUCGAUGACGGUACCCGCAGAAUAAGCACCGGCUAACUACGUG
rnacentral:rRNA from 1 species